GUUUAUGUAGUUUAUAAAAAUAACACAUUUUCGUUGUGUAGAUACUUUUAAGUCUUAAAUA
rnacentral:tRNA from 1 species